GUUCGACACAAUAACUGGUACCGGUAGAGCAAUAGUUAAAACACCAGCUAUGGCACACAUAGAUCCGACAAUUUUUCCCCACAUGGUAACGGGUCGCAUAUCUCCGUAACCUAC
rnacentral:sRNA from 1 species